GCAGUGGUGGGUCUGUGGUAGAAGUCUCACCUUCCAUGGGAGAGACCUGGGUUUGAUUCCCAGCCAAUGUA
rnacentral:tRNA from 1 species